GUCUUAUUGGUUACACCUGUUUCUUGUUUAGGUUUUAGUUGGGCUAUUGAAGACGGUAAUGCCCGCCUGCUCUUUGUGCGGGCUUAUUUUUUUUCCUCUGUUCAUGUUCGUGGUUGUGCGAGCGCCUUUGUUUUUCUCCGAACUGGUUGGGUCCUCUGGUUUUGGAUCGGUCUUGUUAUUGCGCCUGGUGUUUUGGCGUGACCAUUUUACCUGCGCCGGAAUAAAACAUUGUUCUUUACCCUCUGCUUCCUGCGCCUGACUCAGCACCCACUACGCAUAGAGUGUGUUACACUGUUAGUGAGCAUUUCUCUUUGCCAACGUAAUCCAUCCACUUGACAGGGUGCCAAUCAUUUUGGACAUGACUGUAAGUAUUGUCUUUAGUUGUUCAGGCUCUGGACACUACUACAAGGUACACAAAGAAAACAAUCAUCUGCCCAAAUUACUAAUCAAGGUAGCUACUAUCUUAUCUAACACAGCGCACAUCCAACCCGGAAGCCAGCCGCACCAAUGUGCCAGAGGAAACACUGUGUACCUGGAAACCUUGGUUAACGCGCACUGCACCCGUCCCACCACAGGAGUCACUGGUGCGUGAUGAGACAAGGACAUCCCUACCAACCAAGCCCUCCCUAACCCGGACAACACUAGGCCAAUUGUGCUUCACCCCACGGACCUCCCGGUCGCAGACGGUUACGCCUGGGCGCGAACCCAGAGUCUCUGAUGGCACAGCUGGCACUGCAGUACAGCGCCCUUAACCACCCGGGAGGCUGAAUUGUACAUGUUACAAAUUUUUCAAACGUAAGAUGUGUUACGAAUUCCAGCAAGCUGGCUAACAUUACCUGGGCUAGGGGUUAGGGUUGGAGUUUAAGGUUAGAGUUAAGUUUAGGUGUUAGUUAAAUGGUUAUGAUUAGCUAAAAGGAUUAGGGAUUAGCUAACAUUCUAAGUAGUUGCAAAGUAGCUAAAUAGCUAACGUUGUCUGUAAUGAGAUACGAACUCGCAACCUUUGGGUUGCUAGAUGUUUGCUUUAUAUGCCUGACCAACCACCCUACUUUUGUUUUUUGCCUUAAGUAACCAUAUGUCUUAUGUAACCAAAUCAUACUAAUUUGAGUGUCCCGGAUUUCAAUUUACUAUAUUAAAUCUAGUCUA